CGAUUCCGCGAUAGCCACCGGUUUUCAGCUUUAUUGGCUCUGCUGUGUUGUGUUGUAUUUUAUUGUUCAGUGCCGCCCGAUUGCCGUUUUCAUAGUGCCCGACGCACUCAAUAAACAUCAACGUAUACGUAUCAUACGUAUUCCCUUAUCAGAGACCGAAAAAAGGUCGUGUCAAAGCUGACUGAAGAUGAUCUCGGCGAGAAGCUGCCUCCUUCUGGGCCUUCUGGCACUGACAAACUCCGGCCGACUAGCAGUUGGGGAUG